UGCUUCUGGAAAGCAGUAAGGGCAAAUUUGGAAGAUUUGGGAGAAAAGUUUUAAUCAUUUGCACUGACUUAGGUCAGAGGAUACAUGAUUAAGAUGUACCAGAUGAGGGAGAUUUUGACUUAUGCAUCUGAAAAGCAGGCUCAUAUACUACUGAGGCAACCUAAUCUAGGGCCUGUUAGAACAUUCCUAUAAGAGUAUCACGUUCUUACACUGAGAAUAUUUUAUGUCCUUGUGCUAUGACAGGACACAGAUUUGGUCUUGUGUGAAGUGCGAUUUGCUUAAUGUGACCUUCUUUUCUGAAUUUAUUUACAGAAGAUCGAAAAGGUCACGACAAAGAACAGAAAUACAGAGACAGGAAAAAUAAACUUCUUAUGAGUCAAGUUGCCUACUACCUGGGCUGCCGGCAUAAGACGGAAGGUAAGUUCUGUAGGUUCAGCAUCACGGAAGUGGUCAACAAUGUUUUUUCUUUUCUCUGAGGAAGUAUACACUCUCUUCUUCAAAGUUAACUUCAUCCUUGUCAUACUUUUAGGAAAAUAGUAAUGGGUAUUUUAACAUUUUGUUAAAGACGUAACACAGAGGUGAAACUAUUUAGCAACUUUUGCACAUCUGUAGUAAGACAUGUGUUAGACUAGGGUUAACAUCCCAGCUAUUGAUUCCUAACACAGGCACCAAACCACCUGCUUUUCUCUGCAAGAGGCUAAAUCAUGUUUAUAGGAAUCUUCUGCAUACCAUAUAAGAUCCUUCAGAACUCAUAAGAAGAAAGAGGUAGAAAUGUUUAUGUACUGGCUUCAAUUUGAAUGAGUAGCUAAGACAACUUGACUUUAAGGAGAUCAAGAGUGGAGAUGAGAAGAGUAAUUUGGGGAAAUAACAUCUUCAAGUCAGUAGGCAAGGCUGUCAGUGUCAUCCCUCAGUCCUGAUUCAACUAAUUUGACGUCACCAGAUUCUAACCCACCAUGUGUUUUUGUUUCUUCUCUCCAGUUCCUGGCUUUCUGUUAUCUUCUUCAAACAUCAGCAAGGUGGCAUCUGGCCGGCCUCCUUACAGAAAAUACACAGAGGUGAAGGUUCCAGAAGGCAUUGAGAAAUCUUGCUCCCAGCAGGAAGAUAACAAACCGAAUGUCAGAGUCAGCGAAAAUAGAUGUCUUCUGAGUGAGGUGAACUACUCCCUGAACUGCCGGCUGAAGACCUACAAUGAUCAAAAAGAUCAUGAUGAAGAACAGAAAUGCAGAGACAGCAAAAAUAAACAUCUUAGGAGUCAAGCGGCCUACUACCUGGACUGCCGGCUGAAGACGGAAGAAAGUCAAGGUGAUGUUGAGGAAGAGGAGGAGAAAGGGCCAGUGCCCCCCAGGAAUCUGCAGGAGUCUGUGGAGGAGGAAGCCCCCCAGGAGUCCUGGGAUCAAGGUGAUUCGACUCUCUCAGUUCCUCCUGGCCCAUCUGCCCUCAAUGAGACUUUGAGGAGCAACUUGCACUCAUUAGAGGAGCAGCAAGUCAUCUUGGCUGUUGACAUAGACAGUGAGUACUCCAUUGUGAAGGUGCUAAAGCUCCAUUUUGUGUCCCAGAUAGACCCCAUAGUCUUUGGGCAUUGCUCCCCUGGCCGGGCUGAGAGUUGUCAUCACUGUGGGCUGAGCCUGUACGUGAGUGUAGAUUUCAAUCACUCUGGAUUCCAGUCUGAAGCACCGGCAUGGAGUGCGACAGUGAGCUUUGCCCUGUCUCUAGUCUCAGGCCAUGCCCGUCGCACCCUGGACCGACUGUCAGGACAUUGAAACUUAAGGCAGGUGUUGCACACUCACGCCAAGCUCUGCAGCACAUGCCCACAAGUUGUCUGUCAAUCUGAAUUAAAUGUCUCUUGCCAGCUACCAACUUCCUCAUGAGUUUUGUUCCCCAAGCAUGUCUGUGAGGUUCUUCCCUGUUUGUACAACCUUGGUGUAACUGUCUGUAGAAACUUGGGAUAAAAGGAUAAUGGUCUACCAGAAUAGGGACAUUUCAUCAUUGGUCUGAGACAGGAACCAAGAAAUCUCUCUCAUGAUUGGCCUUCAGACCUUCUGAAGUCUGUCUCUCACAUUAUCCUGCUCUCAUGUUGAGGAGCCUGAGGUCCCUGUGCAGGGAUUAGACAGUGGACGGUUAUGGGUGUAGGAUAAUUGGCUUAUUUUGUCUGUCCCUGUCUGAAUUUAUUGCAGAGAUUAAAAAUGACCAAGCAUCAGUAGAAGACCAAGGCCCACCAUGCCCCAGGUAACUUUGAGCAAUUGUGAACAGCUAAUUUUAUGUUGACACCUGGAGACACCAGGUCCAGGGAAAAGAGUGGGCUGACAAUAUCGAUACCAUGUUUUCAAUGAAGCCUGAAUGAUUUCUACUAACAUUGCUGUUGGUUUUCAUUGCGGUAGAUACUUAGGUUUCCAUUUCUCCCUCCCCUUAUCAUUUACUAACUACCGUAGGUUGACGAUACUUGUUUUUAUGAUCAGUGUACGCUGUGUGUCCUGAGGGUACUCACUCAGAGUGUCCUUUUACUCCCUCAUCAGUGUGUCACCU
rnacentral:lncRNA from 13 species